rnacentral:snRNA from 1 species
GUGCUCACUUCGGCAGCACAUAUACUAAAACUGGAACGAUACAGAGAAGAUUAGCAUGGUCCCUGCACAAGGAUGACACACAAAUUCGUGAAGCGUUCCAUAUUUUU